rnacentral:rRNA from 1 species
GUGUCAGCCGCCGCGGUAAUACGUAGGUUGCGAGCGUUGUCCGGAUUCACUGGGCGUAAAGCGCACGCAGGCGGCUUCGGAAGCCCACGGUGAAAUCUCUCGGCCCAACCGAGAGGCGCCCGUGGGAACUCCGGGGCUCGAAGGCGGGAGAGGCGGAUGGAAUUUCCGGUGUAGCGGUAAAAUGCGUAGAUACCGGAAGGAACACCAGUGGCGAAAGCGAUCCGCUGGCCCGCUCUUGACGCUCAGGUGCGAAAGCUAGGGGAGCGACCGGGAUUAGAUACCCGCGUAGUCC